GUGAAGAACGCAGCGAAAUGCGAUAAGUAGUGUGAAUUGCAGAAUUCAGUGAAUCAUCGAAUCUUUGAACGCACAUUGCGCCCCUUGGUAUCCCGAGGGGCAUGCCUGUUCGAGCGUCAUUUCACCACUCAAGCCUGGCUUGGUGUUGGGCGACGUCCUCUUUGGGGACGCGCCUCGAAACGCUCGGCGGCGUGGCACCGGCUUUAAGCGUAGCAGAAUCCUUCGCUUUGGAAGUCGGGGCCCCGUCUGCCGGAAGACCUGCUCGCAAGGUUGACCUCGGAUCAGGCAGGGAUACCCGCUGAACUUAAGCAUAUCAAUAAGCGGAGGA
rnacentral:misc_RNA from 1 species